CAGAGGUCCCGAGCGUAGUUCGGAUUCACUGGGCGUAAAAGGGUGCGUAGGUGGUGAGGUUAAGUCGGAUGUGAAAUCUCCGGGCUCAACCCGGAAAUGGCAUUGGAAACUACCUUGCUGGAGGAUUUGAGGGGGGAUUGGGAAUACUUGGUGUAGCAGUGAAAUGCGUAGAUAUCAAGUGGAACACCAGUGGCGAAGGCGAAUCCCUGGAAAAUACCUGACACUGAGGCACGAAAGCUAGGGGAGCAAACAGGAUUAGAUACCCUGGUAGUCCUAGCCCUAAACGGUGCUUGCUUGCUGUAAGAGGAAUCGACCCCUCUUGUGGCGGAGCUAACGCGUUAAGCAAGCCGCCUGGGAAGUACGGUCGCAAGAUUA
rnacentral:rRNA from 1 species